rnacentral:rRNA from 1 species
CCCUUAGAUGGCCUGGGCUGCACGCGGGCUACAAUGGUAUAUUCAGCGUGAGUUGUUUACCGAAAGGUAGAUCAAAUCUUCAAAUUAUACCGUACUUGGGAUUGGACAUUGCAAUUGUUGUCCAUGAACGAGGAAUUCCUAGUAAGUGCAUGUCAUUAGCGUGCGCUGAUUACGUCCCUGCCCUUUGUACACACCGCCCGUCGCUCCUACCGAUUGGGUGCUGGGGUGAACAUUGUGGAGAUUUGAGCUUCGGCUUGGUCAAAGAAAUGUGAAUCUUGCCGCCUAGAGGAAGGAGAAGUCGUAACA